CUCAGCCCGGUUCCAAACCCUUGCUGGAGAGGUGAUACAGUCAUUUGGAGGAAAGAGGUAUCACCAGUGAAGCCUGCGAAGCAGCAAAGAUGGCAGUCUGCCCCGUCUUCUAGGAGCUCUGUCACAGGGAGACAAGCCGUGCUGUGCUGGCGGACCACUUCAGCUCAUGGUCACCUCAGACACUCUGAAGCCUGAAGGCUGGAACAACUAAAUUGCCCAAACAGCAAAUAUGACAGCAUCUACAGAAAUCAUUUUAUUUGAGUUAUGUAGCAAGAACCCAACUUAAGCAAAUAUAAAAUUUACAACUAAGUCA
rnacentral:lncRNA from 1 species